AGUUUAAGCACCUAAACGGCGAAACUGCGAAUGGCUCAUUAAAUCAGUUAUCGUAUAUUUGAUAGUACCUACUACAUGGAUAACCGUGGUAAUUCUAGAGCUAAUACAUGCUUAAAAUCCCGACUUCGGAAGGGAUGUAUUUAUUAGAUUAAAAACCAAUGCCCUUCGGGGCUCACUGGUGAUUCAUAAUAACUUCUCGAAUCGCAUGGCCUUGUGCCGGCGAUGGUUCAUUCAAAUUUCUGCCCUAUCAACUUUCGACGGCUGGGUCUUGGCCAGCCGUGGUUACAACGGGUAACGGAGGGUUAGGGCUUGACCCCGGAGAAGGAGCCUGAGAAACGGCUACUACAUCCAAGGAAGGCAGCAGGCGCGCAAAUUACCCAAUCCCGAUACGGGGAGGUAGUGACAAUAAAUACUGAUACAGGGCUCUUUUGGGUCUUGUAAUUGGAAUGAGUACAAUUUAAAUCCCUUAACGAGGAACAAUUGGAGGGCAAGUCUGGUGCCAGCAGCCGCGGUAAUUCCAGCUCCAAUAGCGUAUAUUAAAGUUGUUGCAGUUAAAAAGCUCGUAGUUGAACCUUGGGCCUGGCUGGCCGGUCUGCCUCACCGCAUGCACUGGUCCGGCCGGGCCUUUCCCUCUGGGGAGCCGCAUGCCCUUCACUGGGUGUGUCGGGGAACCAGGACUUUUACUGUGAAAAAAUUAGAGUGUUCAAAGCAGGCCUAUGCUCGAAUACAUUAGCAUGGAAUAAUAGAAUAGGACGUUGCGGUUCUAUUUUGUUGGUUUCUAGGACCGCCGUAAUGAUUAAUAGGGACAGUCGGGGGCAUCAGUAUUCAAUCGUCAGAGGUGAAAUUCUUGGAUCGAUUGAAGACUAACUACUGCGAAAGCAUUUGCCAAGGAUGUUUUCAUUAAUCAGGAACGAAAGUUAGGGGAUCGAAAACGAUCAGAUACCGUUGUAGUCUUAACCAUAAACUAUGCCGACUAGGGAUCGGGCGAUGUUUUUCUUUGACUCGCUCGGCACCUUACACGAAAGUAAAGUUUUUNGGUUCUGGGGGGAGUAUGGUCGCAAGG
rnacentral:rRNA from 1 species